CCUACGGGAGGCAGCAGUAGGGAAUAUUGCUCAAUGGGGGAAACCCUGAAGCAGCAACGCCGCGUGAAGGAUGAAGGUUUUCGGAUUGUAAAAUCCUUUUGUUAGAGAAGAUAAUGACGGUAUCUAACGAAUAAGCACCGGCUAACUCCGUGCCAGCAGCCGCGGUAAUACGGGGGGUGCAAGCGUUACUCGGAAUCACUGGGCGUAAAGGGCGCGUAGGCGGGAUAGCAAGUCAGAUGUGAAAUCCUAUGGCUUAACCAUAGAACUGCAUUUGAAACUGUUAUUCUAGAGUAUGGGAGAGGUAGGUGGAAUUCGUGGUGUAGGGGUAAAAUCCGUAGAGAUCAAGAGGAAUACUCAUUGCGAAGGCGACCUGCUAGAACAUAACUGACGCUGAUGCGCGAAAGCGUGGGGAGCAAACAGGAUUAGAUACCCUUGUAGUC
rnacentral:rRNA from 1 species